rnacentral:rRNA from 1 species
CCUGCAGCCACACCAUCUUGAGCUGUGAUCUUGUCAGAUCUCACAAAGAAAGCAGGAUGCAGUCAAUUCUUGGAUGGAAGACCUCCAAGAAUAACAUGGGAGCUGGCAGGA